CCAUAUCACAGUGACACACCAGUUCUCAUUUGAUCACCAAAGUUAAGCAAUGUUGAGGCUAGUCAGUCUCUAGAUGGGUGACCACUGGGUGAAUAUCAAGUGCUGUAAG